rnacentral:rRNA from 1 species
AGAGUUUGAUCCUGGCUCAGGACGAACGCUGGCGGCGUGCCUAAUACAUGCAAGUCGAGCGAGCUUGCCUAGAUGAUUUUAGUGCUUGCACUAAAUGAAACUAGAUACAAGCGAGCGGCGGACGGGUGAGUAACACGUGGGUAACCUGCCCAAGAGACUGGGAUAACACCUGGAAACAGAUGCUAAUACCGGAUAACAACACUAGACGCAUGUCUAGAGUUUGAAAGAUGGUUCUGCUAUCACUCUUGGAUGGACCUGCGGUGCAUUAGCUAGUUGGUAAGGUAACGGCUUACCAAGGCAAUGAUGCAUAGCCGAGUUGAGAGACUGAUCGGCCACAUUGGGACUGAGACACGGCCCAAACUCCUACGGGAGGCAGCAGUAGGGAAUCUUCCACAAUGGACGAAAGUCUGAUGGAGCAACGCCGCGUGAGUGAAGAAGGGUUUCGGCUCGUAAAGCUCUGUUGGUAGUGAAGAAAGAUAGAGGUAGUAACUGGCCUUUAUUUGACGGUAAUUACUUAGAAAGUCACGGCUAACUACGUGCCAGCAGCCGCGGUAAUACGUAGGUGGCAAGCGUUGUCCGGAUUUAUUGGGCGUAAAGCGAGUGCAGGCGGUUCAAUAAGUCUGAUGUGAAAGCCUUCGGCUCAACCGGAGAAUUGCAUCAGAAACUGUUGAACUUGAGUGCAGAAGAGGAGAGUGGAACUCCAUGUGUAGCGGUGGAAUGCGUAGAUAUAUGGAAGAACACCAGUGGCGAAGGCGGCUCUCUGGUCUGCAACUGACGCUGAGGCUCGAAAGCAUGGGUAGCGAACAGGAUUAGAUACCCUGGUAGUCCAUGCCGUAAACGAUGAGUGCUAAGUGUUGGGAGGUUUCCGCCUCUCAGUGCUGCAGCUCACGCAUUAAGCACUCCGCCUGGGGAGUAC